rnacentral:rRNA from 1 species
AGUGAACGCUGGCGGUAGGCCUAACACAUGCAAGUCGAACGGCAGCACAGGAGAGCUUGCUCUCUGGGUGGCGAGUGGCGGACGGGUGAGGAAUACAUCGGAAUCUACCUUUUCGUGGGGGAUAACGUAGGGAAACUUACGCUAAUACCGCAUACGACCUACGGGUGAAAGUGGGGGACCGCAAGGCCUCACGCGAUUAGAUGAGCCGAUGUCCGAUUAGCUAGUUGGCGGGGUAAUGGCCCACCAAGGCGACGAUCGGUAGCUGGUCUGAGAGGAUGAUCAGCCACACUGGAACUGAGACACGGUCCAGACUCCUACGGGAGGCAGCAGUGGGGAAUAUUGGACAAUGGGCGCAAGCCUGAUCCAGCCAUACCGCGUGGGUGAAGAAGGCCUUCGGGUUGUAAAGCCCUUUUGUUGGGAAAGAAAUCCUAUCGGUUAAUAACCGGUGGGGAUGACGGUACCCAAAGAAUAAGCACCGGAUAACUUCGUGCCAGCCGCCGCGGUAAGAC